rnacentral:rRNA from 1 species
GACGAACGCUGGCGGCGUGCCUAAUACAUGCAAGUUGAGCGCUGAAGGUUGGUACUUGUACCGACUGGAUGAGCAGCGAACGGGUGAGUAACGCGUGGGGAAUCUGCCUUUGAGGGGGGGACAACAUUUGGAAACGAAUGCUAAUACCGCAUAAAAACUUUAAACACAAGUUUUAAGUUUGAAAGAUGCAAUUGCAUCACUCAAAGAUGAUCCCGCGUUGUAUUAGGUAGUUGGUGAGGUAAAGGCCCACCAAGGAGAUGAUACAUAGCCGACAUGGUAGGGUGAACGGCCACAUUGGGACUGAGGCACGGCCCAAGCUCCCACGGGAGGCAGCAGGAGGGGAUCUUCGGCAAUGGAGGAAAGUCUGACCGAGCAACGCCGCGGGGGUGAAGAAGGUUUUCGGGUCGUAAAACUCUGUUGGUAUGGGAGAACGUUGAGUAAAGUAAAAAGCUCAUCAAGUGACGGUAACUACCCAGAAAGGGACGGCUAACUACGUG